CACGUAGGGCGCAAGCGUUGUCCGGAAUUAUUGGGCGUAAAGAGCUCGUAGGCGGUCUGUUACGUCUGCUGUGAAAACCCGGGGCUUAACCCUGGGCUUGCAGUGGAUACGGGCAGACUAGAGGCAGGUAGGGGAGAAUGGAAUUCCUGGUGUAGCGGUGAAAUGCGCAGAUAUCAGGAGGAACACCGGUGGCGAAGGCGGGUCUCUGGGCCGGAACUGACGCUAAGGAGCGAAAGCGUGGGGAGCGAACAGG
rnacentral:rRNA from 1 species